AUUGAACGCUGGCGGCAUGCUUUACACAUGCAAGUCGGACGGCAGCGGGGGUGCUUGCACCUGCCGGCGAGUGGCGAACGUGUGAGUAACAUAUUGGAAUGUACCGAGUAGUGGGGGAUAACCAAUCGAAAGAUUGGCUAAUACCGCAUACGUCCUGAGGGGGAAAGCAGGGGAUCUUCGGACCUUGCGCUAUUUGAGCAGCCAAUAUCUGAUUAGCUAGUUGGUGGGGUAAAGGCCCACCAAGGCGACGAUCAGUAGCGGGUCUGAGAGGAUGAUCCGCCACACUGGGACUGAGACACGGCCCAGACUCCUACGGGAGGCAGCAGUGGGGAAUUUUGGACAAUGGGGGCAACCCUGAUCCAGCCAUGCCGCGUGUCUGAAGAAGGCCUUCGGGUUGUAAAGGACUUUUGUUAGGGAAGAAAAGGGAAGUGUUAAUACCACUUUUUGCUGACGGUACCUAAAGAAUAAGCACCGGCUAACUACGUGCCAGCAGCCGCGGUAAUACGGAGGAUGCGAGCGUUAUCCGGAAUCAUUGGGUUUAAAGGGUCCGUAGGCGGGCUGAUAAGUCAGAGGUGAAAGCGCUUAGCUCAACUAAGCAACUGCCUUUGAAACUGUCAGUCUUGAAUGAUUGUGAAGUAGUUGGAAUGUGUAGUGUAGCGGUGAAAUGCUUAGAUAUUACACAGAACACCGAUAGCGAAGGCAUAUUACUAACAAUUUAUUGACGCUGAUGGACGAAAGCGUGGGGAGCGAACAGG
rnacentral:rRNA from 1 species